UAAGAUCACACAACGAUUUAACCCAGUGAACGCACAAGCCAGCCAAAUUGGUGUACCAAGCGAAUCAGUAGUGUGCCAAGCUAUAUACUAGAAUCCAUGAGAGCAGAAAGAGAGUAAUAGAAGCAAAAAGCCCCUCUUGAAGGAGAGCACCAUGACCACCAAAAUCUUCCUCGUCAACCUUUAAUAUCAUUGAAUAAUAACCAUAUAUAAUCCCAGAAGAUAUCAAGAGAAAAACGGCAAUCCAUAUGCCCCCAACCACAGGUAUGGCACCCCAAAGCAAUCCACACACAAGGGCCACUAUUUGCCUAAUCCAAUGCAAGACAUCACCCAAUUGAUCCUUGUCCCAAAAAGCCUCUGGAUCCAACAAUUUAGCAAAUUUGAAAGGAGACAAGUGGCCGUUUUGAUGUUGCUGUAGCUGGUGAUUAUUCAAUUUAGUCGAUUUACCUUCUUUCAUUGCUGGUCAAACCACCAAAAAAUAGAACUUUCCCAACAAAAAAGAAAGAAAAUCGAAUCUACAGCAAACAACAAAGUCCUUCUAGAAAUGAAUUUUCAGUUUGGAUUUGGGUGUUGUGGGUUGAAAGGAUUGUUGAAGGCGGC
rnacentral:misc_RNA from 1 species